AUUGAACGCUGGCGGCGUGCCUAACACAUGCAAGUCGAGCGGUAACAGGUGUAGCAAUACAUGCUGACGAGCGGCGAACGGGUGAGUAAUGCUUUGGAAUCUUCCCAGUAGUGGGGAAUAACCAGUCGAAGGAUUGGCUAAUACCGCAUACGUCUGUAAAGGGAAAGCGGGGGCUCGUAAGACCUCGCGCUAUUGGAUGAGCCAAAGUCGGAUUAGCUAGUUGGUGGGGUAAUGGCCUACCAAGGCGACAAUCCGUAGCUGGUCUGAGAGGACGACCAGCCACACCGGAACUGAGACACGGUCCGGACUCCUAUGGGAGGCAGCAGUGGGGAAUAUUGGACAAUGGGGGAAACCCUGAUCCAGCGACGCCGCGUGUGUGAAGAAGGCCUGCGGGUUGUAAAGCACUUUUAGUGGGGACAAAAAGCUACGGAUUAAUACUCUGUGGUCUUGAUUUAACCCAAAGAAAAAGCACCGGCUAACUCUGUGCCAGCAGCCGCGGUAAUACAGAGGGUGCGAGCGUUAAUCGGAAUUACUGGGCGUAAAGCGCGCGUAGACGGUUUUGUAAGUCAGAUGUGAAAUCCCUGGGCUCAACCUGGGAACUGCAUUUGAGACUGCAU
rnacentral:rRNA from 1 species